UACGGCCAUAUCACGUUUCUGAAACACCGGUUCUCAUACGAUCACCGAAGUUAAGCAACGUCGAACCUGGCCAGUAGCUUGAUCGGUAACUGCUUGAUAAUAUCAGGGGAUG